UACGUAGGGUGCAAGCGUUGUCCGGAAUCACUGGGCAUAAAGCGUACGUAGGCGGCGUCGUAAGUGUCGGAUGAAAUCCCACGGCUUACCCGUGGAACGGUCCGGCAUACUGCGGUGCUAGAGGAUGGUAGAGGAGAGCGGAACUCUUGGUGGAGCGGUGAAAUGCGUAGAUAUCAAGAGGAACACCGGUGGCGAAGGCGGCUCUCUGGUCCAUGUCUGACGCUGAGGUACGAAAGCUAGGGGAGCAAACGGG
rnacentral:rRNA from 1 species